rnacentral:miRNA from 1 species
UGCUGUGGCAUCAUCAAGAUUCACAUCUGUUGAUGCUGCAUCGGC